rnacentral:rRNA from 1 species
GACGAACGCUGGCGGUGUGCCUAAUACAUGCAAGUUGAGCGCUGAAGGUUGGUACUUGUACCGACUGGAUGAGCAGCGAACGGGUGAGUAACGCGUGGGGAAUCUGCCUUUGAGCGGGGGACAACAUUUGGAAACGAAUGCUAAUACCGCAUAAAAACUUUAAACACAAGUUUUAAGUUUGAAAGAUGCAAUUGCAUCACUCAAAGAUGAUCCCGCGUUGUAUUAGCUAGUUGGUGAGGUAAAGGCUCACCAAGGCGAUGAUACAUAGCCGACCUGAGAGGGUGAUCGGCCACGUUGGGACUGAGACAAGGCCCAAACUCCUACGGGAGGCAGCAGUAGGGAAUCUUCGGCAAUGGACGAAAGUCUGACCGAGCAACGCCGCGUGAGUGAAGAAGGUUUUCGGAUCGUAAAACUCUGUUGGUAGAGAAGAACGUUGGUGAGAGUGGAAAGCUCAUCAAGUGACGGUAACUACCCAGAAAGGGACGGCUAACUACGUG